rnacentral:rRNA from 1 species
UGGGGAAUAUUGCACAAUGGGCGCAAGCCUGAUGCAGCCAUGCCGCGUGUAUGAAGAAGGCCUUCGGGUUGUAAAGUACUUUCAGUCGGGAGGAAGGUGUCAAGGUUAAUAACCUUGGCAAUUGACGUUACCGACAGAAGAAGCACCGGCUAACUCCGUGCCAGCAGCCACGGUAAUACGGAGGGUGCAAGCGUUAAUCGGAAUUACUGGGCGUAAAGCGCACGCAGGCGGUUGAUUGAGUCAGAUGUGAAAUCCCCGGGCUUAACCCGGGAAUUGCAUCUGAUACUGGUCAGCUAGAGUCUUGUAGAGGGGGGUAGAAUUCCAUGUGUAGCGGUGAAAUGCGUAGAGAUGUGGAGGAAUACCGGUGGCGAAGGCGGCCCCCUGGACAAAGACUGACGCUCAGGUGCGAAAGCGUGGGGAGCAAACAGG